rnacentral:tRNA from 1 species
GGGGAUUUAGCUCAGUGGCAUAAGCACCAGCCUUGCAAGCAGGUGGUCGAGAGUUCGAUCCCCG